rnacentral:rRNA from 1 species
CAGUCGCCACGGUAAUACAGAGGGUGCGAGCGUUAAUCGGAUUUACUGGGCGUAAAGUGUACGUAGGCGGCUAAUUGAGUCGGAUGUGAAAUCCCCGAGCUUAACUUGGGAAUUGCAUUCGAUACUGGUUAGCUAGAGUGUGGGAGAGGAUGGUAGAAUUCCAGGUGUAGCGGUGAAAUGCGUAGAGAUCUGGAGGAAUACCGAUGGCGAAGGCAGCCAUCUGGCCUAACACUGACGCUGAGGUACGAAAGCAUGGGGAGCAAACAGGAUUAGAUACCCGUGUAGUCCCUGUCUCUUAUAC